rnacentral:rRNA from 1 species
GACGAACGCUGGCGGCGUGCUUAACACAUGCAAGUCGAACGGCAGCACGGGAGCAAUCCUAGUGGCGAGUGGCGAACGGGUGAGUAAAGUAUCGGAACGUGCCCAGUCGUGGGGGAUAACGUAGCGAAAGUUACGCUAAUACCGCAUACGAUCUAUGGAUGAAAGCGGGGGAUCGCAAGACCUCGCGCGAUUGGAGCGGCCGAUAUCAGAUUAGGAAGUUGGUGGGGUAAAGGCUCACCAAGCCGACGAUCUGUAGCUGGUCUGAGAGGACGACCAGCCACACUGGGACUGAGACACGGCCCAGACUCCGACGGGAGGCAUCAGUGGGGAAUUUUGGACAAUGGGCGCAAGCCUGAUCCAGCCAUGCCGCGUGCAGGAUGAAGGCCUUCGGGUUGUAAACUGCUUUUGUACGGAACGAAAAGGUUUGGCCUAAUACGCUGAACUCAUGACGGUACCGUAAGAAUAAGCACCGGCUAACUACGUGCCAGCCGCCGCGGUAA